rnacentral:rRNA from 2 species
GGGCCUUGUACACACCGCCCGUCACACCAUGGGAGUGGGUUGCAAAAGAAGUAGGUAGCUUAACCUUCGGGAGGGCGCUUACCACUUUGUGAUUCAUGACUGGGGUGAAGUCGUAACAAGGUAACCGUAGGGGAACCUGCGGUUGGAUCACCUCCUUA